UACGGGGGGGGCCAGCGUUGUUCGGAAUUACUGGGCGUAAAGGGCGCGUAGGCGGCCUUCUAAGUCGGACGUGAAAUCCCUCGGCUCAACCGGGGAACUGCGUCCGAUACUGGAGGGCUUGGAUCCGGGAGAGGGAUGCGGAAUUCCAGGUGUAGCGGUGAAAUGCGUAGAUAUCUGGAGGAACACCGGUGGCGAAGGCGGCAUCCUGGACCGGCAUCGACGCUGAGGCGCGAAAGCCAGGGGAG
rnacentral:rRNA from 1 species